rnacentral:rRNA from 1 species
UGAGGAAUAUUGGUCAAUGGGCGAGAGCCUGAACCAGCCACGUCGCGUGAAGGAAGAAGGUUCUAUGGAUUGUAAACUUCUUUUGUAAGGGAAUAAAAAGUGGUACGUGUACCAUAUGGUGUGUACUUUACGAAUAAGGAUCGGCUAACUCCGUGCCAGCAGCCGCGGUAAUACGGAGGAGCGAGGCGUUAUAAGGAUUUAUUGGGUUUAAGGGGGGCGUAGGCGGUGCUGUAAGUCAGUGGUGAAAGUUUGCGGCUCAACCGUAAAAUGGCCUUUGAAACUGAAGAUCUUGAGUGUAAAUGAGGUAGGCGGAAUGUGUUGUGUAGCGGUGAAAUGCUUAGAUAUAACACAGAACACCAAUUGCGAAGGCAGCUUACUGGGAUACAACUGACGCUGAGGCACGAAAGCGUGGGGAUCAAACA